rnacentral:rRNA from 1 species
AACGUAGGUUCCGAGCGUUAUCCGGAUUUACUGGGCGUAAAGCGCGUUCAGGCGGUUCGGCAAGUCGGGCAUGAAAUCUCUCGGCUCAACCGGGAGAGGUUGUCCGAUACUGCUGGACUUGAGGGCAGUAGAGGGUGGUGGAAUUCCCGGUGUAGUGGUGAAAUGCGUAGAUAUCGGGAGGAACACCAGUGGCGAAGGCGACUACCUGGCCUGUUCUUGACGCUGAGGCGCGAAAGCUAGGGGAGCAAACGGG